rnacentral:rRNA from 1 species
UGGGGAAUAUUGCACAAUGGGCGCAAGCCUGAUGCAGCCAUGCCGCGUGUAUGAAGAAGGCCUUCGGGUUGUAAAGUACUUUCAGCGGGGAGGAAGGGAGUAAAGUUAAUACCUUAGCUCAUUGACGUUACCCGCAGAAGAAGCACCGGCUAACUCCGUGCCAGCAGCCGCGGUAAUACGGAGGGUGCAAGCGUUAAUCGGAAUUACUGGGCGUAAAGCGCACGCAGGCGGUCUGUCAAGUCGGAUGUGAAAUCCCCGGGCUCAACCUGGGAACUGCAUUCGAAACUGGCAGGCUAGAGUCUUGUAGAGGGGGGUAGAAUUCCAGGUGUAGCGGUGAAAUGCGUAGAGAUCUGGAGGAAUACCGGUGGCGAAGGCGGCCCCCUGGACAAAGACUGACGCUCAGGUGCGAAAGCGUGGGGAGCAAACAGG